UCAUCAUGAUUCUUCUCUCAAAAUUUUUUUACUUCAUCAUCUCAAAUUUAGAUGGCAAUCUGUUUUCAUUUGAAGUCUGUUUCAAGCCAAUUAAAAAUUAUCAGAGUUAUUUGGGUAUGAUUUUGGAUUUUUUUUGUUGAAAUUCUUCACCAAAAAUUCAUACUAAAAUUUAUCUGAACUCUACAUGAUCAUUUCAAGUUGAUUCAAGUUUUUUCAAAUUUUUUUCUUUGAUUUUUUUCUCAUUUAAA
rnacentral:lncRNA from 1 species